CGAUAUGCAGGCGCCCCAUCCUCCUCCCAGGGUCGUCUGCGGGAACGGCAGCACUCCUCCUCCCAGCUGUCGUUCGGUUUUUUUUCGAAAGCCUGCCGCACCUCCUCCCGCGGCAGGCUUUUUCG
rnacentral:sRNA from 1 species